CCUCCUCUUCUUGGCGGGGUCUGGCGUGCGGUCCCAGUCCCCGAAAUAUGUGGAGCAGAGGAUAGGCGCUCCUGCCCCCUGGGUGGCAUGUCUUCAGUGCCGAUGGUUUCCAGUCCGUGGUUCUAUCCUCAAGCACCGGGACACGG